rnacentral:rRNA from 1 species
UACGUAGGGUGCGAGCGUUAAUCGGAAUUACUGGGCGUAAAGCGUGCGCAGGCGGUUCGUUGUGUCGGCGGUGAAAGCCCCGGGCUUAACCUGGGAAUGGCCGUCGAAACUGGCGAACUGGAGUGUGGCAGAGGGGGGUGGAAUUCCAAGUGUAGCGGUGAAAUGCGUAGAGACCCGGAGGAACACCAGUGGCGAAGGCGGCGUCCUGGCCUGCGACUGACGCUGUGGCGCGAAAGCUAGGGGAGCGAACGGG